AAAUGACUCACAAACCUCAACCAGUUGAGUUCGUCCUAUCAGGAACCUUGGCAGAGUUGAUUAUUGUAUGUGCGCGUGUGUUUCAAGGAGCUAUUUUUGUAUCAGAGGUUUCCAUCGGAGAUAUCUGCACACAAACGUCGACGCCGGGCACAGGUUUUAAGGAGCAGAUGGUCACGUGACCUAGACAUCAACGUAACUGUUAAAGAAGCGGCCGCCAUUUUGAAAUCCAAAGAGAGAAUAUUCUUCCGAUCCUCUGACAGACGGCUGACGGCGUUCAACAUCACCCGAUCCUACUCCUACAUCGACUAUAGCAGUGACUUGAUGGUGACUAAGGCCUACGUGUCAGGCAGACGGAAGUGCAUCGUUUUACAAGGAAACAUCACCAACGACUUCAAUACCACCAUGAAUGACAUACUG